UUCUAUGCUCUAGUCCUUACCGGGUGGUGUGCUGAGGUGGAGGUCGGGGGUAUGGUGCCCUGCGUGGCCAGAGUCGUGGCCCAGGGGUUAGUGUCUCGGGCAGGAAGUGAGGGGGCAGUGCUGGAGAGUUAGACAAAUAUAAUAGAUGAACAUACAGACACCAUGUGGUAUAUAGACAUGGUAAUAUUAGAUGAUACAUACAGACACCAUGUGGUAAUAUUAGAUGAUACAUACAGACACCAUGUUGUAAUAUUAGAUGAACAUACAGACACAUGUGGUAAUAGACUGGUCAUAUUAGAUGAUACAUACAGACACAUGUGUAAUAAGUGAUACUACAGACACCAUGUGGUAAUAUUAGAUGAACAUACAGACACCAUGUUGUAAUAUUAGAUGAAUAUGAAAAGAUAUGAACACUGAAGCAACAUAAGCACUUCAUAACGUGUUAUUCAAAAUGCAGGGAGACGAGGCCUAGAAAAGGCACGUGAACUGUGUUAUGGUGGUGUGUCGGCUGUCUUGGUUUGUGUUGCAGUGGAGUGUAGUUACCUGCUGAGCCCCCGGGGGCGCUACAGGUGACUGUGGGUGGAGGUUGGUCGGGGCAUGGGGGCCUGGGAGAAGGGUGUCUUCAGGAGCCCACUGAAGGCUGAGGCGAUCUGGGUAAACAACGAGCUGAUGCUGUCCCCUCUCCCUCCACCUCUGGGACUGGAGGAAUGGGACAUGGA
rnacentral:lncRNA from 1 species